rnacentral:sRNA from 2 species
UUAUAGUAAAAGCUGAGUCCAAGUGUAUGACCUUGGAGCGGGGGAUUAUUAUGGGGUGAAUCACGUGACUCUUUCACGUGUAGGGCUUACACCUACUGCCCGAAUCCGUCAACUAACCUCGUAAGCUAAGAAAGGUGGAUAU